GUGCCGCUGUGCGUAUUCGCUGUGGACGUUUCCAUGGAGACGGUCGCUGGUAUGAAACGGCGAGAAAAGAGCCGUGUGCGCGGAAUGACGUAAUGUGAUGGAUUGAAGCCGCUGUAGCGCCGGUCCCGCGUGCACUCGGUGCUGCUCCGCUCCGCAUCCCUCAGCGCUCUCUCUGCGCUCUUGUUUGGACCAAUCCUGGAGCAGAAGUACCAUCUCUGGGUUUGUGCUUUUGGAGGAUUUUACAAGAUCCGACUGUGAUGUAACGCUGCAAGAACAUGCCGCUGUGUCAUAUGCAAGUUUUCAGAUCAUCAGGAAAAUGACUUUGUGAAUGCAGAAAUGUGUAAUUAUGAAGUUGGGGUCGCUGGUCACAGGGGCCCUUCCCCCCUUCUGGAUGCCUGUCACAGAGCAGCCAUGCUGGGCUUCAUCUGAAGGGAUGCACCAUGGUGUGAUCACACGUCUGUCCUACCCCAGACUCAAUGAAUCGCACGAAUGAAUGGACAUUACUGUGGCAAAGGGAAUUAGCUUGCUUGCAUAGGGACUUUGGAUUUGGGAAUACUGGAGCCGGUAGAGGAGCGUUGGAUUUUUUUUUGAAGAAGUGCAGCGGAUACUUCAAGGAGUGUUUUUGGAAGAUGUCUGAGAAGGGAGCCGAGGCGUCUACAUCUCAGCCCCCAAAGCGGAAGCAGGUGAUUCAUGGUCUGGAAGAUCAGAAAAAGAGUUUCUCCACUGGAGAUGAGAAGAACUGUGUGCUUGGCUCUCUCUUUUUACACCUCUUUAACAAUUCAUCUCAAUAACUCCUGCGAGGAACUGCUCAUCCGUAGAGGAAGGUCUUACUCUCUGCCGGCAGAGAUCUGAGAGACAUAAGGUUUCUGACAGUACAGGCCACUGUAUUAUGAUCAGAGUGUUGGAUAGUAGUGCAAUGGUUUGUAUGGUAUUGUAGUGAAAUUUUGUAUAGUAUAUUGUUUAGUAACAGUUUGUUGUAUAAUAUAACAUAGCGUAGUUCAGUCAUAUUGUAAACUAAAGUACAGCAUAGUGAACUAUACUAUGUGGGACUUUCUUUUGAUUAUUGGUGCCUAAGUAGAAUUUAAUUUCAGCAGGUUGCUGUUUGCAGUAUUUUUGUACAGUGUUGCAUUGCAAAAGGUACAGUAUAACAUAUAGUUUACUUUAGGGUCCUUAGAAGAAAAAAAAUCUUUAAAGGAUUUUAAGUGGUUUGCCAUUUGAUUGGCUGAUUUUAAAAAGUAGACUGGAAUAUAUACAAAUUGAUCAAAAACACCAAUUUGCUGCUGAUUAAUGAGCCUGUAACAUUAAAUGCACUUACUGUGUAACAUUAAUUUGUUAAAGCGUUUUCAUUUGUCUCAGUUCAUUGAUGUAACUGCAUAUGUAAGGGUUUGGUCCAACUUCUUAACAGAUGAAUAGUUGGUUUAUUUACAGCAGCUUCAUCCACUGAGAGUAGUCACAUUUAUUUCAGUAUAAUAAGAGCAAAACAUCAAUGAAUUUAUGAAUUGGUAAACUGAAUUGGUCAAACUGUGGUAGGUAGGUUAUUGUUUUGCAUGGAUUUGGGGGAAAUAUAGUCCACAUUUUUGGCUUUACAGUUGAAUUGGUUCCCAUGAAAACAUAUAAGAGCUGAUGCUAUUGUGUAGCAUAUCAAUAAUGCUAUAUAUUUUCUUGGACUUUGCAGAUAAAUUGAAUGACUCUCAAAGAUUUCCAUGUUCAUCAUAUUCUGUAUGGUGGUUAGUUUACAGCAGUGACCGAAAUUAACUUUUCCGAUAAUGAUAUUUUCCCUCCUAAAUUGAU
ensembl:lncRNA